CGAAAUUUCUCUUCUUCUACAACCUCACCGCACACGCCCCCUCCUUUGAGAAAACCUAGCCGUCGACGCAACUUGUGAUCACGCCGCCUCCAGCCACCAGCAUUCUGCCCGACGUCGAUACGAGCCAUCUCUACCACUGCCGACCCAGCCCGCUCCCGCUGCGUCAUUAUAGAAGCCCAGCCCCGCCCUCCGGAUCCGCGCGCCUGCUGCACCUCUGCCGGAAACCCAGCCUUGUUCGCCGCUUCAACCGUCGUUUCAAGUCCUCUCCAGUUGCAAACUCGUGCGACCAGAAGCCAGCCUAGUUCGCCGUUCGUCCGAGCCGACCAACGCCACUCCAAACGCAUCUGCACCGAAGCUGCCGCGGCGCAAUCGAUCGAAUCUGCAUCAGAUUCUUCCUGUCACCGCCUUCGUUGCUCGUGUCGUCAUCAGAUUUGUCAACUUGGGUAUAUGUUCUUGAAGGUAUUAAGGUGCUAUUUUGUGAAGUUGGAGUUGUUUAGCAUAUUUGGGGUGCCUCAUAUCACACCGUGGGGUCUUACUGGGAGUUGCUGAUUUCAUUGGCUGUCUGAAAUCGUCUGCGGAUUUUUGAUUUAGGUGUUGCUUGCCUUGAAAAGGAUAAGAUUGCUUGGGUUUCUUUAGAUUUAACUUUGAGGUAAGGGUAGAGAUGCGCCGGCGAUAAAAAGCGGAAUUUGUGAUCGAGCCACUGGGACUAGUUUUUUUCACUUCCGCUCAUGAGAUUUAGAGUCCUUUUCAUGUUCCUCUUAACUUUUAGUUUUGAUGUUUAAAACUUACUUUUUAAGAAUCGUU